rnacentral:ncRNA from 1 species
AGACGUCACGUCGGGAGAGAUCGGCUUCAGCGCCGGCGCCGAAGGAGCAACCGCCCCGGAAACUCUCAGGCAAACGGACCGCGUGACGAAA